AUGGAUCUUAGCCCAUCGAUUCUGUGUUGGAACGUGAGAGGGUUAAAUAACCCAGAAAAGAGAGAUGCGGUGAGGGCCUUUGUUGCCACGUUGAGAGUGAAUGUAGCUUGCCUCCAAGAGACUAAAAUGGAUGUCAUUGAUCGUUACACCGUGUUGCAAUGCCUUGGGCCGUCCUUCAACGGUUUUGCUUUCUUGCAAGCCGCGGAGACCAGAGGAUGA
rnacentral:rRNA from 1 species